UUUGUCUGUAUCCUUAGCGGUCUUGAACUUUAAAUUUAAAAUUUUUUUAAAGCUUUGUGCAAUUCUGUACUUUUCAUACUUAUUUCACUAUAGACCCCUGGAAUGCAGAACAGAGCUUAGCCCUUAGAAGGUGCUCAGCAGAUUUAUUUCAUAGAUGAAUGAAUAAACAGUUGGCUGUCUCCAACGAGCCUUCCAAUUAAUGUGUACUUUGGGAAAUGCUUUACAGCACAGUGCAUAGGCCACUCUGGCAGGAAUCAGUUCUGAUAGCUGUAUGUUCCUGCAUUCCCAGAGGAAUUUGUGCCUAUGUCUCCAGAAAGGGGAAUGCUGUGAUUUUCUCCUAACUCCCUGACGGCUAUAUCCUCACCCAUACCACACCCACAGGGCACUUCAUUACUACGAUGCUGAGGCUGUGCACAUACCCAUUCGAGGGCUCCACCCAGACCUUUGCAGCUCUAGAUCCACUCUGUUAGCCAUGGCCCAGGGUCAGAGCAGGGCUGAACCAGCAGAGAUUGCAUGGCUUGGAAAAUACUUAGAUUCAUUUCGAGAGCUGGUCAGCCCAGUGGCAAAGGCCAUGACGUAGUUCUCUUGAGUGCUAAUUAUAGGAAAUCAUAUCUACAGCUCACUGAUGGUGUAAUGUGUCUUGCAGAUGUAGACAUUGUUAAUCCUGAUGAAAAGUCAAUCAUGACAUAUGUGGCACAGUUUCUGCAGUAUUCCAAGAAUGUGCCUCAGUUUGGAGAUAAAGCUCAGAUUAAUGCACAGAAGACAAAGCUAGAUGAUGCCUUGCCCCUGCCCCUCCAUGAAAUCGAGGACUGUCUUCGGGAGGUAGAGGAGCUGGUGGAGAAAGAAUUGCAGGCCUCCCAGGAUUCCUCUGAACCCGUGACUCUGACCCAGGAGAAAAUGACUUCAUUUAAGGUUGGAAAAGCAGAAGAGACAUGGAAAGCCAGUACUGGGUUAGGGUCUGUUCUUGAGGAAGAUUUUGUCAUAGAAAGAAGGGCAAAUACAGCAGUAUCUGAGGGUGAUGUAGAAUGCUUUCGCUGGGAUCUUGAGGAUCCAGAAGACAUUUUCAUGUUCAUGACUAUUGUGCUUGUUCAAGGGCAAAACAAUAAGAAUAGAGUCCAGUAG
rnacentral:lncRNA from 1 species